AGUGAACGCUGGCGGUAGGCCUAACACAUGCGAGUCGAACGGUAGCACAGUAAGAGCUUGCUCUUACGGGUGGCGAGUGGCGGACGGGUGAGGAAUACAUCGGAAUCUACUUUUUCGUGGGGGAUAACGUAGGGAAACUUACGCUAAUACCGCAUACGACCUACGGGUGAAAGCAGGGGAUCUUCGGACCUUGCGCGAUUGAAUGAGCCGAUGUCGGAUUAGCUAGUUGGCGGGGUAAAGGCCCACCAAGGCGACGAUCCGUAGCUGGUCUGAGAGGAUGAUCAGCCACACUGGAACUGAGACACGGUCCAGACUCCUACGGGAGGCAGCAGUGGGGAAUAUUGGACAAUGGGCGCAAGCCUGAUCCAGCCAUACCGCGUGGGUGAAGAAGGCCUUCGGGUUGUAAAGCCCUUUUGUUGGGAAAGAAAAGCAGCAGGUUAAUACCCCGCUGUUCGGACGGUACCCAAAGAAUAAGCACCGGCUAACUUAGU
rnacentral:rRNA from 1 species